rnacentral:rRNA from 1 species
UGGGGAAUUUUGGACAAUGGGCGCAAGCCUGAUCCAGCCAUGCCGCGUGAGUGAAGAAGGCCUUCGGGUUGUAAAGCUCUUUCAGGUGGAAAGAAAACGCAUGGGUCAAUACCCUGUGUGGAUGACGGUACCAUCAGAAGAAGCACCGGCUAACUACGUGCCAGCAGCCGCGGUAAUACGUAGGGUGCGAGCGUUAAUCGGAAUUACUGGGCGUAAAGCGUGCGCAGGCGGUGAUGUAAGACAGAUGUGAAAUCCCCGGGCUCAACCUGGGAACUGCGUUUGUGACUGCAUCACUCGAGUACGGCAGAGGGAGGUGGAAUUCCGCGUGUAGCAGUGAAAUGCGUAGAUAUGCGGAGGAACACCGAUGGCGAAGGCAGCCUCCUGGGCCAGUACUGACGCUCAUGCACGAAAGCGUGGGGAGCAAACAGG